rnacentral:sRNA from 1 species
CAGCAGUUCAUUGACUGCGUACAGGCGGGC